rnacentral:rRNA from 1 species
GACGAACGCUGGCGGUGUGCUUAACACAUGCAAGUCGAACGAAGUGGCGCACGGGUGAGUAACGCGUAAUCAACCUGCCCUUCAGAGGGGGACAACAGUUGGCAACGACUGCUAAUAUCGCAUACUGAAGGAGGGGAUUGCGUCUGAUUAGCUAGUUGGCGGGGUAACGGCCCACAAAGGCGAUGAUCAGUAGCCGGUCGGGGAGGAGGAACGGCCACAUUGGGACUGAGACACGGCCCAGACUCCUACGGGAGGCAGCAGUGGGGAAUCGUCCGCAAUGGAAGAAAGUCUGACGGAGCAACGCCGCGUGAGUGAGGACGGCCUUCGGGUUGUAAAGCUCUGUUAAUCGGGACGCGGUACCGGAAUAGAAAGCCACGGCUAACUACGUGCCAGCAGCCGCGGUAAUAC